rnacentral:rRNA from 1 species
GACGAACGUUGGCGGCGUGCUUAAUACAUGCAAGUCAACUGAAGCAGUGGUAGCAAUAUCGCUGUGGAGGUGGCGCACGGGUGAGUAACACGUAGGUAAUCUGCCUUCAGGUCUGGCAUAACUCCGGGAAACCGGGGCUAAUAGCAGGUGAUGCAGCGGCUCGACAUCGAGACAGUUGUUAAAGCUAUGGCGCCUGAAGAUGAGCCUGCGUCUGAUUAGCUAGUUGGCGGGGUAACGGCCCACCAAGGCAACGAUCAGUAGCUGGUCUGAGAGGAUGAUCAGCCACACUGGAACUGAGACACGGUCCAGACUCCUACGGGAGGCAGCAGUAAGGAAUAUUGCUCAAUGGGAGAAAUCCUGAAGCAGCAACGCCGCGUGAGGGACGAAGGGCUUUUGCUUGUAAACCUCUGUAGUGAGAGAAAAAAAUCCCAAUCUUUGGGACAUGAUGGUAUCUCAAAAGUAAGCCCCGGCUAACUACGUG